CUGACAGAGUCACCCAGCACUCGACUCACAGGCCUUCCCAUUCUGUGGACAUCACAACAUUCAGCAUGGAGUUGAGACUGAGCUGGGUUUUCCUUGUUGCUCUUUUACAAGGCAUCCAAUGUGAGGCACAGUUGGUGGAGUCUGGGGGAGGCUUGAUGCAUCCUGGAAAGUCCUUGAAACUCUCCUGUGAAGCCUCGGGAUUCACCUUAAGUGACUACUGGAUAAACUGGUUCCGCCAGGCACCAGGAAAAGGGCUGGAGUGGGUUGGUGUAGCUAAAAACAAACUUCAUAAUUAUGGAACAGAAUAUGGGGAUUCUGUGAAAGGCAGAUUCACCAUCUCAAGAGACGACUCCAAAAGCAGCGUGUACCUGCAGAUGAACAACUUAAGAGCAGAUGACACCGCCAUUUAUUACUGUAUUAGAGACACAGUGAGAGGACUUCAUUGUGAACCCUGACACAAACCUUCCUGCAG